AGAUAUAGGAAGGAACACCAGUGGCGAAAGCGACCACCUGGACUGAUACUGACACUGAGUGCGAAAGCGUGGGGAGCAAACAGGAUUAGAUACCCUGGUAGUCCACGCCGUAAACGAUGUCAACUAGCCGUUGGGAGCCUUGAGCUCUUAGUGGCGCAGCUAACGCAUUAAGUUGACCGCCUGGGGAGUACGGCCGCAAGGUUAAAACUCAAAUGAAUUGACGGGGGCCCGCACAAGCGGU
rnacentral:rRNA from 1 species